rnacentral:rRNA from 1 species
AUACGGAGGGUGCAAGCGUUAAUCGGAAUUACUGGGCGUAAAGCGCGCGUAGGCGGUUUGGUAAGUCGGAUGUGAAAGCCCCGGGCUCAACCUGGGAAUUGCAUUCGAUACUGCCGAACUAGAGUAUGGUAGAGGGAAGUGGAAUUUCCGGUGUAGCGGUGAAAUGCGUAGAUAUCGGGAGGAACACCAGUGGCGAAGGCGGCCACCUGGACCAAGACUGACGCUGAGGGACGAAAGCGUGGGGAGCAAACAGGAUUAGAAACCCUAGUAGUCC